rnacentral:misc_RNA from 1 species
GUGAAUCAUCAAAUCUUUGAACGCAAAUUGCACUCUCCGGUUUUCCGGGAGAGUAUGCCUGUUUGAGGGUCAGCCUAAAAAAAAUCGACAUUGUUGCUGUUUUAUGGUGACUUUCGUCGGAGAUGGGUUAUCUUAAAUCUCGGUUUAAGCGACUUAAAAAUUUUUUUACGAUUUUAAAGGUGUUUCUUAGGUUUUUUUUCUUUACCCGUUUAA